AUUGAACGCUGGCGGCAGGCCUAACACAUGCAAGUCGAACGAGUGGCGGACGGGUGAGUAAUGUCUGGGAAACUGCCUGAUGGAGGGGGAUAACUACUGGAAACGGUAGCUAAUACCGCAUACCAUCAGAUGUGCCCAGAUGGGAUUAGCUAGUUGGUGGGGUAACGGCUCACCAAGGCGACGAUCCCUAUCUGGUCUGAGAGGAUGACCCGCCACACUGGACCUGAGACAGGGUCCAGACUCCUAGGGGAGGCAGCAGGGGGGAAAAUUGAACAAUGGGCGCAAGCCUGAUGCAGGCAUGCCGAGUGUAUGAAGAAGGCCUUCAGAUUGUAAAGUACCUUCAGCGGGGAGGCGUUACCCGCAGAAGAAGCACCGGCUAACUCCGUGCCAGCAGCCGCGGUAAUUC
rnacentral:rRNA from 1 species